CUUUUUAGGGCUGCACCUGCAGCAUAUGGAGGGUCCCAGGCUAGGGAUCCAAUCAGAGCUGCAGCCGCCGGUCUACGCCAGAGCAACAGCAACACGGGAUCUGAGCUACGUUUUGACCUACACCACAUUUCACAGCAACUCCAGAUCCUGAACCCAUGAGAGAGGCCAGGGAUCAAACCCGCAUCCUCGUGGACGCUAGUCAGGUUGGUUAACCACUGUGGCACGACAGGAACUCUGCAGAUGAAGCCUUUAAUGUCCCUCCCUCCUCCCCACCCACCUCCAACCUUAAGGAAGAAGCCUUGAACGAUGAGCAUCUCGAGGGGGCAGGGCCCUGCCUGGUCCCCAAGCUUAGCAGAGUCGGCCCACAGGUCAGUCACCAGCAGGUGUCUGCUAGUCAGACCCUGAAUGGAUGAAGGGUGGGUAAACUGCACGUCUGAAUAUCUGCGGUCAUGGAGAAGGAGGCAGCGUCUUAAGAGCAAAACAGCAGAAACCCAGAGACCACAAGAGGUCUGCAGAACACCUAACUGAUGGUGACACAUGCCACUCGGCCAAACCACCUGACCCGGGUCCGGCCAACAGUCUGCGGCUGGAGCUCCCUGUUCAAGCCCUGGCGGCGGCGGGGGGGGGGGGGGGCUGCACAGGGCUGGCUCCUCAGGCCAAUAGAGACCACGCGUGGAUCCUCGGAACGCUGACCACGGCAUGAACACAACCUGAGGGGGGAUGGUUCCCCUUCCGAAGCCGGAGUGGGGUAGAGAGAGGAAGACCGACGGCAGCGCACUGGCCACGAGGGUAGAGGAGGGGAGGUGGGCCGAGCUGAGACCCGUUUCUCUCGUGUCUCACGCUUCCCUGGGAGGUGCUGAGCGCAGCCGCGCCCCCCACCCCCGGAAGAGAGGGCGGAUUUCGAGAAAGAAUGAACCACAUGCACAACAGGAGACGUCUCCUGAACACCCUCCACAUCUCCCACCUGGGAGCAGAACUGUUUUCAAGCAAGGGUCCCCUUGGACCCUUUGCAUUACUGCCUAGAGAGGAACUGCAGGUGUGGAGGCAGUGAUGAAGCACUGCCUGUCACUAGGGGGUGGGGGGACACUCCUGGACGGUCCUUCCAGGAGGCGGUGGCAGGCUCUUCCUCUCUACUACAGGGUGGAAUGGCUCCAGUGGCGCUCUUCAUCAGCCCCACAGCCCCCUCUGCUCCCCCCAUGGAGACACAAUCCUCUUCAUCGACAGCGUUCCCGGCACAGGAGGGUGCAUGUGUGUUAAGACAGCCCCUCCCACAACAAAGGCAAGGAUGUUGAUCACAGUGGACUAGCCUCGUCCAGGAUGUUUUGUCUUCAUGAUUUAAAAGCUCUUUCCAUGGAUUCCCUGGUGGCUCAAUGGGUUAAGGACCCAGUCUCCACCAAAGCCUCAGGGGCCCUUGGGCUCACAAGAGUGAUUCACGGGGCCGUAUUUAUUACCCAUUCACAAACCCUUUAGGGGACACUUUUGUGGCCUCUCAGUCUUAUGAUGCUCUCCCCUCUAAAAGAAUCUCACCUCUAUUGAGCUGGACAUCUAUAAUAAGAACCAACCCUACUAUAGAUAUAUUAAGGGAGAUAUUUCAUCCUCUCUCUAAAUAACACACAUCAUAUGAAAGAUCUUUAUUACAGCAUCUAUCUCACUCUUAACCUAUUUUCCAUCAAUGACCAAUGUGCCAAGCACUAUUCUAAAUGCUCUGCACAUUUUAACAUUUAAUUCUCAACAGCCAUGAUUUGGGUACUACUAUCACCUAUAUUUUCAGACUAAGACUCUCUGAGGCUCAGAGAAGUUAAGCAACUUGCCUCAGGCCACACAGCUAGGAAGUGUCAGAGAUGUGUCCAUAUCCAGGCAUUCUGGUUUCACAGCCAAUAAACAGUCACCCACUGCAUCCCCCUGAAUUUCUGAAAACAGAUCUUGUACGCCAUGUGGUUUCACUGGGCAUAGAGACCACCCGGGCACCAUCCACUGAGCAACGUCUUCCUAUACUGCUGUGGUUUAGUGUCAUGUCUUUAGAAAAAGCGAGCAAGAGUGUGGCUGAAGGGGGCGGCAGUCCAUUCCAACAGGGACGCCAUUCCCAUCAGCGGGAAGGAUGCUCACUUGUCCCAGUGCUUCGUCCUGAAGGAUGUGAAGGGCACCUCUGAUUAGACUUCACAGGGUCUUUGCCUUGGAUUCCGGUCAUGGAGCCCAACACCCAUGCAAGCUGACGUUCUCGCAGGCUCACCAGCUUCUGCAGGCGAAGCCAUGAUGGCGCUUGCUGUGAUGUAACAAACACAGCGGGGAAGACAAUUCCCCGAGAGCGCCUGGAACACCAUGGGCGGCCAGUGAAUGGAGUUGAAUGAAUGAACGAGUGAAAAAAGGAGAAGGCGGCACCACCAAACUGGGGGGUGGGGGUGGCUGGGGGUCCUUGCCUUCCAAGGACUGAAUGGACCCACACCUGCUCUCUGUGGGUGCCCGGGGGCUCCUGACAACUGGGGGAUCUGGGCUCAGGGGUUAGAGUUUGGUUACGACCCAGAGUUUAUGUUGACGGGGUCAGAGGAGCUCCCAAGUAGAAUUUGCCUUCAAACCGCACACUCCGCCUCCCCCCACAAAAAAAGAUGCUUCAGUUUUCACAAAGCAGUUAUAACUAUAGGGUGAAUUCCCAAUAGCCAGAUAGCGGAAGCAACCCAAACGUCUGUCCACAGAUGAAUAAACAGAAUGUGGUGCAUGAGCCCAGCGGGAUAAUAUGCAGGCUUACGAAGGAUGAAUCUUACACGGGAUGGGAAAGGAUGCUGAGAGGUUACCUCAUCUAUCUCUGCCUUCAGGCAAGCUCAGCAAAGCCCUACAAGAAAGAUGAGCCUUGUUCUGCUUGCUAAGGAAGGAGAGGGCAUCGGAGGUGAAUUCUUAACACUCCUUGUCAGGCAAUCCUCCUCACAAUCCAUCUUCAAGCCUGUGAGCUGGUCAUGAUUGUUACAGCAGCAUUUUAGCUGCUGGGUUUUAUUAUUAUGGGAUUAACUGAGAUUGCUGUGUGUGCCCCCAGAGGCUUUUUAAAACAACUGUUUUAAAAAUUGAAAGCACCGUCAGGGAGUGGAGCUAAUAAAACGUGCUUGGUGGGAGCAUCCUAUUUAGCAAAAUUUCCUACCUCCAGCCUCCAGGACCGGUGAAAAUUCACGAUUUCCCCCUAUUUCAGCAUUCAGGGAAAACAAAAAACAAAAAACAAAAAAACCCAGCUGUGAUCGUAUCUUUCACGUUGAUUUGGAAUCCGCCCGCCCGUCAUUGUGAAAGGCGGGAGGAAAGGCUGUGUGGCCCCCUCUUCUUUCCCAUUUUCUUUUACUUCGUUAAUGGAGCCAUUUCCUGUAAAAUAGCUUUUUUUCAGCACUAACUCCCAAGCAAUGCAUCUUGACUGCAAUGUCUAGUGUUGGUGGCUGGAUUCACAGAGCAAACCUUUACCCCAUCAAUUUAAAUGACUGCCAAGCUCAGUCCAAUGAAUACGGGAGGCAGGGGGCUGUGGACCACCCAGUGAGGAGUGGGAGGGGGUCUGGCCCUGGGCUCCCAACAACAGGAAGUGCUCCAUUCCCACUCGCAUCUCCAGCCGCCACCCUCCACUCGCCCACUUUCCCUGAACCCCAGAGACCCUCCCUGCCAAACAAGCUCAUUCUCUGGCCUGCCCGGGAGCGGUUCCACCUGGGCCUGUCUGUCAGGUAGAAAACACCUGGCCACUUACAGCCCUGACCUUGUCCAAUCGCAUAAAGUAUUCAUGAGCCGCAUGGCGGAUGCUGCUACUUAUCAGUCUAGUCACAACAUUGGCUCUGGUAUCAGAAGGUCCAGGUUCAAACUCCACCCCAUAAAUCUAUGUAGGUAAUUCACCCCUUGAGCCUCCAUUUCCUCGUCUGUAAAAUGGGGCUACACAUACUGAUCUCGUGGUGUUGAUGAGCUGAUGAGAUGAGCCGUGCAUGCGGCUCUGACAUGGUACCUGGAGCUCGGUGGGGGCACCUCUCCUCACUUCACUCCCCAGGGUGGGUUUGCAUGUGGACGCCACGGGCAAUGCUGUGAUUCAAAAGGGUGAGAGGUGAUGGUUUCAGUUCCACGCGAGGUUGCCCGUGGGCUGUAUUUGGGGAACUGAAGAAAGGGUGCCCUCUUAGCACCUCUAGAAUCUCUGUGCGUCCAUCGCUACUGGCUCUUCUUCUAGACCACAAACGUGUCCUUGACCUUCUGCAAUGACAAGUUCCCAGGCAAACUCCCACACUGCCCUCCUGCCCUGCCUGCUCCUUCUGGCCUCGGCGUUGGCUCCGCAGGGCGGAUGUGUCAGAUCCCACUUAACUGCUCAGGGGGACAGAGACACCCACCCGGUCCCCCGCUCCAAGCUCCAGUGACGAUCGGGUGAGUCACGGUUGGAAGCCCGCAGUGCUUCUGUCUCCUUCAGAGUGUAAAUUGUACAGGAUGCUCCCACACGCUCCAUUCUGGGACCUGGGUUCUCGGACCCAGAGGUUCCUAGGCUAGGGAUCAAAUCAGAGCUGCAGCUGCCGGCCUACACCACAGCCACGGCAAGGCGGGAUCCGAGCUGCAUCUGCGACCUACACCACAGCUCACAGCAACACCAGAUCCUUAACCCACUGAGUGAGGCCAGGGAUCAAACCUGUGCCCCUAUGGAUGCUAUCCAGGUUCAUAACCUGCUGAGCCGCAGUGGGAACUCCCGGCCCACUAUUUCUAAUGGCAACUUAUACUUUUCCUUUGCUUUAUUUGUCGCCAUCGAAUAUCUCCCCAUCCGCUGCUCAGGACAUCCCCUCUAAGUUAAUAUCCUUGUGGCUUUUAACCCCUUAACUUCAAAGAGUACGCACAUCUUUCAAAGCAAUAUUUUCUUCAGCUGAAGCUUAUCGCUUGUAUAGGAAAAAUGUAUGUGUACAUUCCACUGGCUCAGUGUGACAUCCGUAAUAAAAUGAUGUACAAUCGAAUCUUGAGUUAUGGUCCAGGGACUGUUGGUAGAAGGUCAGAAGCACGUGGGGGUGUUUGAAGGGCUUUCCGAGUGACAGCAAAGCGCUGUGCACCUCGAGGUUUCUCCGCUGCGCCAGUCUCAGAAUUCUUCCCCUGGUGACGAAUGCUUCAGUUCAGGAAACUGCUUUGUGUUUUUAUUGUAAAAAUAAAAAAUGUACUGUAAAUGUUAUCUGCAUUGUUACCUACAAAUGAUUAAUUGAGCGGUGCUGGCCUGACUUAUUUGCCAUGACUCAUCUUAGAGGUAAUGCCGGUGACCCGGCAUGCAAACCGGGUGUGUCGCUGCACACAGGUGACUGUCAGCAACCAUAUGAAUUGGUCAGGGACCAAGAAGUGAGGCUUUACGCUUUCUUAAUGACGCAGCCUCUGGGGGUUAACCGCAUGUGGGUCACGUGUUAGGAAACUAACCGGAAGUUUGGGUGGAUUUGCAACAUCCUGAUUUUUCCCACUUAAUAUGAUGCGUUGUGCUAUAUUAUUUAUCUUGCUUAUUGUCUGUCUGUCCUCCCUGAAGCAUGAGGGCUGUGUGAUCCAGACCUUCUGUCGGUUCUGCGUCGCCGCCCCUCACAUUGCAGGAGCUCAGUUAGUCCUGGGAGGAGCUGUCUCUGGCCUCCUUGGGCUCCAGCAGGAGCUGCAUAAUAAGGACCUGCUAGCCUCGGCGUAGCCCUGGGCUCACCCGCUCCCCACCCAGAGGGCUGCCUUAAGGGGAUGGGGUUCCACCUCGGGGAAGAGGGGAAAAUCCAUGCAGCUCUGGAUGGCUGGGGUGGUGCCCAUGGGCCAUAGAAUAAACCUUCUCCAAGGAGAGAUGUCAGUGCAGCACUGAAGCCUGCUGCAUUCAUUGAGCACCAAGCAUGGGAGGCAAUAAGUAGCACUUUAUGUAUACAUGGGGGCCGGGUAGGGUGCUUUGGAAAUGGUUCCCAGUGAGCCCCCCCCUGGCGUCCAACCCUGCAUGAUCUCCUUUUAUGAGGGAGAUGGCUCUUGUGUCUCUCUCUCUCUUUUUUUUUUUUUCCGGCACCCUUGGCAUGCAGAAGUUCCUGGGCCAGGGAUGGUACCCGUAGUACAGCAGUGACAAUGCUUGAUCCUUAACCCACUGAGCCACCAGGGAACUCCUAGA
rnacentral:lncRNA from 1 species